rnacentral:lncRNA from 1 species
UGUAUUCUGUUUGUAUCAUUUUAGUUUUACAUCUUUUUCUUGAAUGUGAUGCAGUUCAAGCUCUGCAAGGUCCGUUCAGUGCAGUUUGGGCAGAAAGGCAUCCCAUACCUCAACACCUAUGAUGGUCGCACCAUUCGGUACCCAGACCCUGUCAUCAGGGCAAAUGACACCAUUAAGCUGGAUCUUGAGGAGAACAAGAUUGUUGACUUCAUCAAAUUUGAUGUUGGAAAUGUAGUCAUGGUUACUGGUGGAAGGAAUAGGGGGCGUGUUGGAGUCAU